CCUACGGGUGGCAGCAGUGGGGAAUAUUGGACAAUGGGCGAAAGCCUGAUCCAGCCAUGCCGCGUGUGUGAAGAAGGCCUUCGGGUUGUAAAGCACUUUCAGUGGGGAAGAAAGCCUUGGGGCUAAUACCCUCGAGGAAGGACAUCACCCACAGAAGAAGCACCGGCUAACUCCGUGCCAGCAGCCGCGGUAAUACGGAGGGUGCGAGCGUUAAUCGGAAUUACUGGGCGUAAAGCGCGCGUAGGCGGUCUGAUAAGCCGGUUGUGAAAGCCCCGGGCUCAACCUGGGAACGGCAUCCGGAACUGUCAGGCUAGAGUGCAGGAGAGGAAGGUAGAAUUCCCGGUGUAGCGGUGAAAUGCGUAGAGAUCGGGAGGAAUACCAGUGGCGAAGGCGGCCUUCUGGACUGACACUGACGCUGAGGUGCGAAAGCGUGGGUAGCAAACAGGAUUAGAUACCCCCGUAGUC
rnacentral:rRNA from 1 species